GAAAAAUAGUCAUAUCAUCGCAGCUGUGAUACAGAAAAGUGCUGUGGGAGCAUGUUGACAAUUUACUUGGCUUUAAUCUAGUGCCUUGUAAUGAGCCUGCACUUCUUAAAUUAAAAGAUUACGAAAAUGAAGCUAGAGCUUUGAGCCAGGAAAUUAAUUCCAUCCUUUCAAUGUGCUCAAAAGUUUCUAUUGCUGAUUGGGAAAUGUUAUACACCAGAGUUUGUGACUUGCCAAUAUAUAUCAAUGAAAGUGAGAAGUUAGGACAGAGAUCCAUUCCUAUAUCCUGAUAAAGUAUGUUGUUCAAAGAACUUGCCUUCAUUCCAAGAGGUAAUAGUCUUUUAUUUCCUCUCCAUUGAAAUUUGUUAUUAUUUUUUAUUUAAAUUUUAAUAGUUUUUUGGGUGUCAUACAUGAUAGAUGAGUUAUUUGUGUGAAGGAACUCAUGUUGAUUUCUUUACUAGUGACAAUAAAUUUUUAUAAAGUAUAUUAGUGGCAAUAGUUUUUUUAAUGUAUCAUGUUAAGCCUUUUUAUUGUUAUUGUACUUUCCUUCGAAGUACUACCUUUUCUGUUUUGGGUUUCGUUCACCACACCUUCAUUUUUCCACAAUAUCCGUCUUCUUUCUCAUAAAUUAUAAGUAUUGAGAUACAGUUGACCCUUUUCAAAUUAUAACUAUUGUUUUAGCUUGUUAUUUUUCUCAUCUUAUUACAUAACAUCAAAAUGGAACAAAAUUUGGGACAGACUCCAACCUUGGAUAAUUACUCAG